rnacentral:rRNA from 1 species
CAGUCGCCGCGGGAAUACGUAGGGCGCAAGCGUUAUCCGGAUUCACUGGGUUUAAAGGGUGCGUAGGCGGAUCUGUAAGUCAGUGGUGAAAUCUCCAGGCUUAACCUGGAAACUGCCGUUGAUACUAUAGGUCUUGAAUUUUGUGGAGGUUAGCGGAAUAUGUCAUGUAGCGGUGAAAUGCAUAGAUAUGACAUAGAACACCAAUUGCGAAGGCAGCUGGCUACACAACUAUUGACGCUGAGGCACGAAAGCGUGGGGAUCAAACAGGAUUAGAUACCCGAGUAGUCCCUGUCUCUUAUAC